AGUGAUAUGCUUGUCUUAAAGAUUAAGCCAUGCAUGUAUCAGUACAAGCCUCACUAAGGUGAAACCGCGAAUGGCUCAUUAAAUCAGUUAUUAUUUACUGGCCGAGACAGUGAUACAUGGAUAACUGUGGUAAUUCUAGAGCUAAUACAUGCAACCGAGCCCCAGUGCCGGCUCUCGGGUCGGCCGGGGCGCUUUUAUUGGCUGAAAACCGAUGAUCGUCCUCGUGGCGAUCGUUCUCCGAUGAAUCACAAUAACAUUGUGUGGAUCGUACGGUCUUGUACCGACGACGCGCCUUUCAAAUAUCUGCCUUAUCAGCUCUCGACGGUUUGCUAGUGGCUGACCGUGGCUCUGACGGGUAACGGGGAAUCUGGGUUCGGUUCCGGAGAGGGAGCCUGAGAGAUGGCUACCACAUCUAAGGAAGGCAGCAGGCGCGUAACUUACCCACUCCCAGUUCAGGGAGGUAGUGACAAUAAAUACCUUACAGAGGUCUCGUUAACCGAGAUCUCUCAAACGGAAUGAGUACAACGUGAAUCCUUUAACGAGGAUCGAC
rnacentral:rRNA from 1 species